rnacentral:rRNA from 1 species
GAUGAACGCUGGCGGCGUGCCUAAUACAUGCAAGUCGAGCGAAUAGAUGAGGAGCUUGCCCCUCUGACGUUAGCGGCGGACGGGUGAGUAACACGUGGAUAACCUAUCUAUAAGACUGGGAUAACUUCGGGAAACCGGAGCUAAUACCGGAUAACAUAUUGAACCGCAUGGUUCAAUAGUGAAAUACGGUUAUGCUGUCACUUAUAGAUAGACCCGCGCGGCAUUAGCUAGUUGGCAAGGUAACGGCUUACCAAGGCAACGAUGCGUAGCCGACCUGAGUGGGUGGACGGCUACAGUGGAACUGAGACACGGUCCAGACUGCUGGGGAAGGCACCAGUGUGGGAUCAACCGUAAUACGCGAAAGCCUGACAAAGCAACGCCGCAUAAAUGAUGAAGGUCUUCGGUGCAUAAAACUAUGAUACUAGAGUAAAGCAAUUGUGUAAGUUACUAUGCACUUCUUGACGGUACCUAAUCAAAAAGCCACGGCUAACUGCAUG